AGUGAACGCUGGCGGUAGGCCUAACACAUGCAAGUCGAACGGCAGCACAGUAAGAGCUUGCUCUUACGGGUGGCGAGUGGCGGACGGGUGAGGAAUACAUCGGAAUCUACUUUUUCGUGGGGGAUAACGUAGGGAAACUUACGCUAAUACCGCAUACGACCUACGGGUGAAAGCAGGGGAUCUUCGGACCUUGCGCGACUGAAUGAGCCGAUGUCGGAUUAGCUAGUUGGCGGGGUAAAGGCCCACCAAGGCGACGAUCCGUAGCUGGUCUGAGAGGAUGAUCAGCCACACUGGAACUGAGACACGGUCCAGACUCCUACGGGAGGCAGCAGUGGGGAUAUUGGACAAUGGGCGCAAGCCUGAUCCAGCCAUACCGCGUGGGUGAAGAAGGCCUUCGGGUUGUAAAGCCCUUUUGUUGGGAAAGAAAAGCAGCAGGUUAAUACCCCGCUGUUCUGACGGUACCCAAAGAAUAAGCACCGGCUAACUUCGUG
rnacentral:rRNA from 1 species